rnacentral:rRNA from 1 species
AGAGUUUGAUCCUGGCUCAGGAUGAACGCUGGCGGCGUGCUUAACACAUGCAAGUCGAGCGAAGCAAUUUAAGUGAAGUUUUCGGAUGGAUCUUAAAUUGACUGAGCGGCGGACGGGUGAGUAACGCGUGGAUAACCUGCCUCACACAGGGGGAUAACAGUUAGAAAUGACUGCUAAUACCGCAUAAGCGCACGGUACCGCAUGGUACAGUGUGAAAAACUCCGGUGGUGUGAGAUGGAUCCGCGUCUGAUUAGGUAGUUGGUGAGGUAACGGCCCACCAAGCCGACGAUCAGUAGCCGACCUGAGAGGGUGACCGGCCACAUUGGGACUGAGACACGGCCCAAACUCCUACGGGAGGCAGCAGUGGGGAAUAUUGCACAAUGGGGGAAACCCUGAUGCAGCGACGCCGCGUGAGCGAAGAAGUAUUUCGGUAUGUAAAGCUCUAUCAGCAGGGAAGAAAAUGACGGUACCUGACUAAGAAGCCCCGGCUAACUACGUGCCAGCAGCCGCGGUAAUACGUAGGGGGCAAGCGUUAUCCGGAUUUACUGGGUGUAAAGGGAGCGCAGACGGCACUGCAAGUCUGAAGUGAAAGCCCGGGGCUCAACCCCGGGACUGCUUUGGAAACUGUAGAGCUAGAGUGCUGGAGAGGCAAGCGGAAUUCCUAGUGUAGCGGUGAAAUGCGUAGAUAUUAGGAAGAACACCAGUGGCGAAGGCGGCUUACUGGACGGUAACUGACGUUGAGGCUCGAAAGCGUGGGGAGCAAACAGGAUUAGAUACCCUGGUAGUCCACGCC